rnacentral:rRNA from 1 species
GAUGAACGCUAGCUACAGGCCUAACACAUGCAAGUCGAGGGACCGGCGUACGGGUGAGUAACGCGUAUCCAACCUUCCCAUUACUGUGGGAUAACCUGCCGAAAGGCAGACUAAUACCGCAUAGUCAUGGAUGGGGAUGCGUCGGAUUGGCUUGUUGGCGGGGUAACGGCCCGCCAAGGCGACGACCAGUAGGGGAUCUGAGAGGAAGGACCCCCAAAUUGGAACAGAGACACGGUCCAAACUCGUACGGGAGGGAGCAGUGAGGAAGAUUAGGAAAUGAACGCAAGUCUGAACCAGCCAAGUAAGGGACAGGAUGACGGGCUAUGGGUUGUAAACUGCUUUUGAAUGGGGAUAGGUACCAUAUGAAUAAGGACCGGCUAAUUCCGUGCCAGCAGCCGCGGUAAUUC